GGUCGGAUAAGGCGUUUACGCCGCAUCCGACAACAACCGCCUGAUGCGACGCUGGUGCGUCUUAUCAGGCC
rnacentral:ncRNA from 1 species